rnacentral:misc_RNA from 1 species
AAUCCUCAAAACCCUCUUCUUUGAUUCUUUUCGGUCGGGAAGAGGAUUUUUGGACUUGGAGGUUUAAUGCUCGCUUUCUGCCUUUUGAAAGUGAGCUCCUCUCAAAUGAAUCAGUGGGGUCUGCUUUGCCGGUCCUUGACGUGAUAAGAUGUUUCUACGUUUUGGAUUUGGCAUCGUCCCUUGGAUUGCCCCCGCUCCUAAUCGUCUCACGGACAAAUGAUGGUGCUCCGGUCACCGCCAUCCACAUUGGCGGGAGGCUGGACCCACAAAAA